UACGAAGGGGGCUAGCGUUGCUCGGAAUGACUGGGCGUAAAGGGCGCGUAGGCGGCUUGCACAGUCAGGCGUGAAAUUCCUGGGCUCAACCUGGGGACUGCGCUUGAGACGUGUGGGCUUGAGUGGGGAAGAGGGUCGUGGAAUUCCCAGUGUAGAGGUGAAAUUCGCAGAUAUCAGGAGGAACACCGAUGGCGAAGGCAGUGGGCUGGGCCGGCACUGACGCUGAGGAGCGAAAGCGUGGGGAGCGAACAGG
rnacentral:rRNA from 1 species